AUGGCUGGGCGUAUUGAGGAACAUUCUUUGGCAAAACGAUUGAGUAAAGAAGCCACGGAACGUCAAAAAAGAAAACAAACCGAAGGUCGUGGAGUAUGCAAUCUUUUCAUAUUAGAUACAUCAGAGAGCAUGAAAGGAGAAGGGUGUCGACAGAUGAAAGAAGCUUUCGCAUCCUUUAUAGAAGGUUAUGCAACACAUUCCAUGUUGGAUGAAAAUGUUGCAGUGGUACAGUUUGGAAC